rnacentral:rRNA from 2 species
UACGAAGGAUCCAAGCGUUGUCCGGAUUUACUGGGUUUAAAGGGUGCGUAGGCGGAUUUUUAAGUCAGUGGUGAAAGCCUGGAGCUUAACUCCAGAAUUGCCAUUGAAACUGAAAGUCUCGAGUAUGGUUGAGGUUACCGGAAUGUUGCAUGUAGCGGUGAAAUGCUUAGAUAUGCAACAGAACACCGAUUGCGAAGGCAGGUAACUAAGCCAUAACUGACGCUGAGGCACGAAAGCGUGGGGAGCAAACAGG